UGAGGCCAUAGCCAAAUUCUUUUUUUAUUGGCAAGAGAUUCCAUUCCAGUAUGUUUUGAGUCUCAAAUCAGAUAUUUGUGACACAACGCUAUCCCUCUAAUUAAGUAGAAACAUUGGGCCUUUGUCAUCUGUGGUCCGGCCUAGUCUAAGAAACCUUGGGGUGACAUUUGACAAAUCCCUAUCUUUUGAAACUCGCAUCAAAUUACUGUCCAGAUAAUGUUUUUUUCCACGUACGCACACAUUAACAAAUGAAGGGCUGUGGUCUCAGUCAGAACUGGAUAUGCUCAUCCAUGUCUUCAUUUCCUCCCGUAUUGACUAUUGCAAUUCACUCUUCUCCUCACUCAACAAAUCUGUCCUUCACCACCUGCACCUGCUGUUGCUAGGCUAGUUCCUAGAUCAAACAGGUGCACCCAUAUCACCUCUCUACUCUGCUCCCUUACUUAGGAUCCAAUUCAAAAUUCUCACCAUAACCUACAUGGUCAGGCCCCUGCUUAUCUUGCCAACAUAAUUCACUUACACACCCCUUCCCGGUCUCUUGGGUCUAUCAACCAAAAUCUGCUAUCCACGCCACACACUCGUCUGAAGACGUGGGGAUAGAGCCUUUGCCAUGAUGGCACCCAGACUCUGGAAUGCUCUGCCAACCAGCAUUAGGUUUGCUGGGAAUGUGGACUGUUUUAAGGACAAGUGAAGACUCACUUGUUUAGGCUAGCUUUUGGGUAACCUCUGUCUUCUAUUUAUUAAUAAUUUUAUCUGCUGUAUUUUUACUUUACUUUAUUCUUAGCCAAUUUUUUACUAUGCUUUAUUGUCUAUGCACAUUGUAAAGCACUUUGUGACCCUGUCUGUGAAAAGUGCUGUAUAAAUAAAUUUUACUUACUUACUUA